GUCAGUGUAGUGCAGUGGUUUGACCACCCAACUAUGACUCUGGAGACCAGGGUCCAAAUCCUUGUUCAGCCA